GGAUUGUGGCUCAGUGGUAGAGAGCUCACCUCACAUGUGUGAGGCCCUGGGUUUAAUCCUCAGCAUCA
rnacentral:tRNA from 1 species